UUGAGAAAAAUCUGCCAGCU
rnacentral:miRNA from 1 species